UACGGAGGGGGCAAGCGUUGUCCGGAUUUAUUGGGCGUAAAGAGCGUGUAGGCGGCUUGGUAGGUCCGCUGUGAAAACUCGAGGCUCAACCUCGAGAUGUCGGCGGAAACCACUUGGCUAGAGUCCGGAAGAGGAGAGUGGAAUUCCUGGUGUAGCGGUGAAAUGCGCAGAUAUCAGGAAGAACACCAAUGGCGAAGGCAGCUCUCUGGGACGGUACUGACGCUGAGACGCGAAAGCCAGGGGAGCGAACGGG
rnacentral:rRNA from 1 species